rnacentral:rRNA from 1 species
AACGAACGCUGGCGGCGCGUCUUAAGCAUGCAAGUCGAACGGCAAGCGGUAGCAAUAUCGCCUAGAGUGGCGGACUGGUGAGCAACGCGUGGGCGACAUACCUUUUAGAUGGGGAUGGCCAUUAGAAAUAGUGGGUAAUACCGAAUGUGACCACCCAUGUUAGAGGUUGGUGAGGAAAGAUGCUACGGCAUCGCUAAGAGAAUGGCUUGCGUCCCAUUAGCUAGUUGGUAAGGUAAUGGCUUACCAAGGCGACGAUGGGAAGCCGGCCUGGGAGGGCGAGCGGACACACUGGGACUGAGUUACGGCCCAGACUCCUACGGGAGGCAGCAGCUAAGAAUAUACCACAAUGGACGGAAGUCUGACGGAGCGACGCCGCGUGAAUGACGAAGGCCGAAAGGUUGUAAAGUUCCUUUGUACCUGAAGAAUAAGUUGGGGAGGGAAUGCCCUAAUGGUGACGGUAAGGUAUGAAUAAGCCACGGCAAAUUACGUGCCAGCCGCCGCCGUAA